UACGAAGGGGGCUAGCGUUGCUCGGAAUUACUGGGCGUAAAGGGCGCGUAGGCGGAUAGUUUAGUCAGAGGUGAAAGCCCAGGGCUCAACCCUGGAAUUGCCUUUGAUACUGGCUAUCUUGAGUUCGGGAGAGGUGAGUGGAACUCCGAGUGUAGAGGUGAAAUUCGUAGAUAUUCGGAAGAACACCAGUGGCGAAGGCGACUCACUGGCCCGAUACUGACGCUGAGGCGUGAAAGCGUGGGGAGCAAACAGG
rnacentral:rRNA from 1 species